GUAAUUUGGUCUCUCCCAUUAACACCAUUAAAUAGAUGAUAACUGAUUUUAUUUCCUUCUCUUUCAAAGGAAAACCAGUGUUCUCUGGACAUGAAAAGCAAACUGAAUACAAGUAAACAAGCAGAAAAUGGACAACCAGAACCACAAAACAAGGUUCCGGCUGAGGACCUUACAUUGACAUUCAGUGAUGUACCAAAUGGAUCAGCCUUGACACAAGAGAAUAUCAGCCUCCUAUCAAACAAGACCAGCUCUCUGAACCUGUCAGAGGACCCUGAGGGAGGAGGGGAUAAUAAUGACUCCCAGAGAUCAGGAGUUACUCCCAGUUCUGCUCCUUAAAAUAUGAGGAGUCCUACUUUUAUCUUCUGCUCCUAAUCAGUUUGUCGGGCAUAGGGGUAGGAGAACGCAUAACUUCUAAACUUUUUCUCUUAAGAGCGGUCAGAGAAAUCCAGGAAAUUCACCAGAGGCAAUGUGCACAAACACC
rnacentral:lncRNA from 1 species